UAAUACUUAUGCAUAUCCAUGAUAUAUAUCAUUCAUGGGUUAGAAUAUUUUUUUAUGGGCUAAGUGAAAGAAGCAUAUAAGUGGAUUUGACACCAUAUAUUGACCCAAAACCUUAAGGCAUUAAGUCUAUGGGUCCAUUCACUUAUAUGCUCUAUAACUCAUCUAUUUUUGCUCAAUGUGUGACUUCUUCCUUCACACUUAGAAUACCCAACAUCUCCCCCUCAAGUGUGAGUUCUCCUUCGAAUAUUGGAUACACCAGAGCUCAACUCUUUAGUUACUUGCACCGUCGUUGGCUUAUCCUUUCAUCAAUGGAACACGCCACAUUGACCUCUCAUCAGGAAGACUUUCGACACAAGGAUCCCUCAUGGAUCUACCGACUACUUGUCGCUUCAAUACUCCAUUGAGUCGUCGAACCAUCGGCUCUUAUACCACUUGUUGGGAGAUCUUCAUCUAUGGGUUACAACAUUCCUUCAUGGGCUAAGUGAAAGAAACAUAUAAGUGGAUUUGACACCACAUAUUGACCCAAAACCUUAAGGCAUAAGGUCUAUGGGUUCAUUCACUUAUAUGUUUUUUAACUCAUCCAUUUUUGCUCAAUGUGAGACUUCUUCAUUGACACUUGGAAUACCCAAUAAUAUGAAAAUUUAUUUUACAUUUUGUUAAAGCAAUGUUAUUUUUGUUGUCAUUUUUCCGGCU
rnacentral:lncRNA from 1 species